rnacentral:lncRNA from 14 species
GAAAUAUGAGACCUUCGGCCUACGGUCCUGGAGGUCAGCUGGAAGCUCCAUAUUGCUUCCGGCCUUUCCUUUUGCUCCCCGCCCCCCUUUGCCUCCUCACGCUGUUUCCCCUCCCCCGCCGUCUCUCCCUUCAGUUUGCGUGGGUUUUGGCGAGGCGGAGCCCUGGAGUAAAACCUGGGGUCGGUGUUGUGAGACCCGGCCCUUGCGGUUGGGAGCCGGAGCUGUGGGGCGGGCUGACUGAGGGCGAAAGCAUGUCCUCCCUCCCUGGGUGCAUGAGUUUGGCUGCAGCGCCAGCUGCGGCGGACUCUGCAGAGAUUGCUGAGCUGCAGCAGGCAGUGGUUGAAGAGCUGGGUAUCUCUAUGGAGGAACUUCGUCAGUUCAUCGAUGAAGAACUGGAAAAGAUGGACUGUAUACAGCAGCGCAAGAAGCAGCUGGCAGAGCUGGAGACGUGGGUGCUGCAGAAGGAGUCUGAGGUGGCUUAUGUUGAUCGGCUGUUUGAUGAUGCAUCUAGGUGAGAGUUCAUGGAAGCAGAAGGAAAUGUCCUUCUGCAUCGUCCUUGGAGUGAUCGUUGUUGUCGUUGUCCUAAGCACUUUAUAGUUUGCCCGAUUCAGUCAUGUGGGACCUUACACUUCCUCUGAGUUUCCAGUGCAGAGUUGCAACAGAACACUUUUCCCCUGUGGGUAGCUGAUAUGUGGUCAGCAGUAGGUAGGUUAAAGGCUUGAAUUCCCUUGUCUUUCUCCUGUACUGUACUUCCUUACUAAGAUCCCCAGGAAGUGAAGAUUGUGAAUGUUGCUAUUUUCUUUUCUCAAGUAUAUAAUAAGUUUCAGCUAGGCAUGGUGACACAUGUCUUUAGUGUCUGCAGUCAGGAGGCAAAAGCACGUUUGUUACCAGUAACUGUGACCCUACCAACUUUAUACUUAUUUGUUUGUUUGUUUGUUUGUUUGUUUCUUUCUUUCUUUCUUUCUUUCUUUUUUUUUUUUUUUGGUUUUACAAUGUAAAAGGUGGUUUUGUUCUUUUUUUUCCUUUUUUUUUUUUUCGGAGCUGGGGACCGAACCCAGGGCCUUGGGCUUGUUAGGCAAGCGCUCUACCAGUGAGCUAAAUCCCCAACCCCAGGUGGUUUUGUUCUUUAAUUGUUAAUUUUUAUUAUUUUUUUUACCAGAAUGCAGAGAAAGUGGGAGCAGAGCUGAGCAGAUGGUUCCAUGGGUAAGAUUGCUUGGUUUGUAAGCAUGAGGACCAGAGUUUAAAUCCCCGAGCACUUGUAAAAAAAUAUUUGAACAUUGCUACAUGUGUAGCCCUGGUGCUUCUUGGGUAGAAAUAGAUCCCCAUGAACUCAAUGGCCAAGCAGCCCAAUGGCAGUAAGUCGGGCCUAGUAGAGGAGGACACCUGAUGCUGUAGCAGCUAUACGCCUUGAGUCAUGUUUACUGACUGGUGCGUUACAUACAGAGCACACACCAGAAACGCGAAGACUGUAAAAAAAGAGUCCAGCAGAGUUCAUCCCAGAUAUAUAAAUAGAAAUGGCUCUUAAAAUUGACCUCCGAGGCAGAUUUGUAAGUGUCUUUUAACUUUGCAAAGUAACUACCUGUUCCAGAACACUUUUAUUUGUAUGUUUGUAUAUCUGUAUGGGGUUUGUGUGUGUGCACGCACACGUGUGCGUGCACCAAGCGUGCCUUAUUCCCUUGAGACAGUACUCUAAUUCAAUCUCAAGUUUACUCUUGCAGCUAUACCGGUGGCUGUGGUGAUGCCUAUGUCUUCUCUCCAUAGCAUGGUCUCAUGGUCGCUCAAAGGUGUGGCUGACUGUCCUAGUCACUGUUUUAUCUCUACAUCCUGAUCAUAGGGUGAGAGAAACAGACAGGGUCUGGCAUGGGCUUGUGAAACCUCAAAGUCCAUCCCCAGUGACACAUUUCUCCCACAAGGGCACACCUCCUAAUUCUUAUAAUCCUUUCAAGCAGUUCCAUUUGCUGGGUUCUAAGCAUUGGAAAAUGAGCCUGUGAGACUAUUCUUAGCCAAACUACCGGGAUGGUUUAUUUUAAAUAGGUGCUGGAGUUUUGAACUUAGGUAGUCGUGCUUGCCCAGAAAGCUUUUCUACCCACUGAGCUCUCUCCCUAGGACUUAAAAUACACUUGCCUUUAUUUUGAUUGUUGGAGACAAAUUCUUCACAGACAAUGUUCUUUUCCUGUUUUAUUUUACUUUUUUUGCAGUAUUAGAGAUCCAAACCCAGGGUCACUGCAUGUUAGGUCAGGGCUGUCUCUCUAAGUUCUUGUUGUCUUCUUCUUCAUGAGUUGUGUCUAACUCAUGAAACUGAAUUUUUUUUCUUUUCUAUAUUCCUAUAGCUUCGUGAAGCUAUGGCUGCCUUAAGAAAAUCAGCUCAAGAUGUCCAGAAGUUCAUGGAUGCUGUGAAUAAGAGAAGCAGUUCUUAAGAUCUAUAUAAUGGUUAGUGUCGAGGAGUACCUGCAUAGAUGAGACGUGAGUUCUUUCUGGAAUGUUACUGACAGCUUUGCCUCUCACAGUGCUGUUUGACUUGCCAGUCUCUUUUUAACAUAGUUUUAUGUCCACAGUCAGUCUGAGGUGACUGAUGGAUGUGGUGGCUCAGGCUGUUAACCGUUGUUAGUUGCUGUUGGUAAGGAGUGGGCCAUAGUUGGCUGUGGCAGAGGCUGGUAGGGUACGCCAACGGAGGUAGAGUCGUGGGGAUGUUCUGUAUUCAUUUCUCCUGUCCGCAUAAGCAGUUGGUUGUCUUGUGUUUCUGCCUCUUCUGUCCAAAGUUUAGCAAAAGUGGCUAAUGGUCACAGAAUGCCAUGUCAUUGUUUUUUUGUUGUUUUUUUUUUUAAGACAACAUCUCUAUGCAUAACUUAUGUUUCCAUUGCAGUCUUUCUGUAUCCUAGAUUUGUCUCAAACUCACAAACCUCCUGCUGUACCUCUUUAGUGCCAGAAUUGGAGAGAUUAGUCACCAUUAAGGACAAAAAUAUGGAAAUUGGGAGAUUAAUAAAGACUAAUGAUGCAGUGGGAAGGAAUGAAGUCAAGAUUAAACGGUAGCAUAGGAAUACAAUAGAAAAAUCCAUACCUGGGAUAUUUUUUUCAGUUUGGGUUUUUUGUUUUUUUGAGAAAGGGUUUCUCUGUAGCUCUGGCUGUCCUGGAACUUGCUCUAUAGACUACCAUUUGGCCUCCAUCUCAAAAAGGUGUCUUGCCUCUGUCUCCCGAGUGAGUUUUGACAUUAAAGGUGUAUCACCACUAGGUAAAUUCAUUGUAUCUUACAGUUUUGUUUUUUUUUUUUUUUUUUUUU